CCUACGGGGGGCUGCAGUGGGGGAUAUUGCACAAUGGAGGAAACUCUGAUGCAGCAACGCCGCGUGAGGGAAGAAGGUCUUCGGAUUGUAAAGCUCUGUUGUUAGGGAAGAACAAGUACGGGAGGAAAUGACCGUACCUUACGGUACCUAACGAGGAAGCCACGGCUAACUACGUGCCAGCAGCCACGGUAAUACGUAGGGAGUAAGCGUUGUCCGGAUUUACUGGGUGUAAAGGGUGCGUAGGCGGCCCUGCAAGUCAGGUGUGAAAACUAUGGGCUUAACUCAUAGAUUGCACUUGAAACUGUGGGGCUUGAGUGAAGUAGAGGCAGGCGGAAUUCCCGGUGUAGCGGUGAAAUGCGUAGAGAUCGGGAAGAACACCAGUGGCGAAGGCGGCCUGCUGGGCUUUAACUGACGCUGAGGCACGAAAGCGUGGGUAGCAAACAGGAUUAGAUACCCCAGUAGUC
rnacentral:rRNA from 1 species